GAAGAAAGGGGAUGCAGGAGCUGAAGUAAGCCAGUCUGUUGACCCAGCGGGGGAUUUCUCUUCCACAGAGCAACUGAAACAGAGGCACACCUGGCCCUCUGCAACGGCCCUAAUCUGGAUUAGCGCAGACUCCUGCUCCACAUUGCACACCUGGCCCGUUCACUUCCCUCCCCAGCAACCGGCAACUUCCAGCAACAUCGUUCCAACAAAGUCUGCUGCUGGAUGACACAACGGAAGAGCAGGACUUCACCCGUUUAUAAAACUUGGUGUAACGACAAGCGUACCACUCUCUCAAUUUUUCUUUCUCAUUAUGAUUCUGUUACCUUAGUAUUUUCAAUAUUACAGCUAUAUUAUGUGCCACUACACUCUUUUUGUUCGCUUCCACUAAAUCAAAUCUUUGCAACAACUUCAGACCUAUUCACAGGUAUAAAGUUUUUCAUAUUUUAAGGUCUUUUCUGUUUUGAUGCCCUUUUUGUCAAACCCCCUGCUCCCCCAAAAAACCUUUUUUUAAGGGGAAAACACAGAAUAUGCAAUAUUUUCCUAAAAUAAACAGAAAAGUGGAAUAUUUUGGAUGCGGGUGUUACAGCAUUGACUAAUGUAAAAGACAAAAAAAAUAGUAACAGCACUGAUUUUGAUGCAUUAUUACUCCUGGAGUUAAAGAAAAAUAAGCAUACACAUUUUUAACUUAGGUCCCAAAUUUUUAUUUAUUAUAAAACUCUAAUAAAAAUUUGACUUGCUUUUUUUUUUUUUCAAUUUCACAUUAAAUCUCUUGUAUGACUUGGGACGUACUCAUGAUACAAGGUUUUCCAUACUUUUUUUUCAUUUUUGUCCUUUUUGACAUAAAACUCUAUGAACUGUAUUAUUGUUGAAAUGUGCAAUAAAAGUAAACUUUGGAUUUCUGUCGUGUUUAUGUAGCACUGGCACUUCAAGAAUGCUACUUAUUAAAAACACAACCCUUUAAAAAGUGUCUACUGUGCCAUUGUUUCUAAAGUGUGUGGAAAAAAUAAAAGGCAAACAUGAGCAAACUCUUGUUUCCUUAUCCAAUAAGUCAGAAUCAGUUACACAAAAGUAUGGAAAAUAACACAAAACCAUGAGUCAAAUCUUUGCCAGUGAAUCAACAAACUUGGCAACAACUCUUCUAACUCUUUCUCCAUCUUCCUCGUCACAGUCUGUGAGCUUGGCGUUAGAUUUUGUCUGUGGCUGACUUUGUUGGUCGGCGUACAUUGUUGUGGACACAAGAUCGUCACCCACUGGUUCUUCCAUGGCCUCACAGUAGUUGUGUAAAACAAAGCAUGCAUAGAUCACACGAGGCAAGUCAAUCAUGUUUAGGUCCAUGGGCCGCCUAAGAGACCCAAACCUGGCCUUCAGUCGUCCAAACGCGAGUUCUAUGACCUCGUGAGCGCUACUGAAACAACGUCCAAACUUUUCCUCUUGAGGGGUAGAGCCAUCAUUGGGAUAGUCCUUCAUCAAAUAGGGCAGGAGAGGAUAGACGGAGUCUCCCAGGAGAAAAACAGGUACGGCUUCAUCGUCCUCCACCAUCUGCUUCUCCAGGGCUGGGAUCUCACCAGACUCCAAGCGUGUGUUUAUUCUGGAGUUGGCGAAGAUCCGUGCAUCGUCCACACUCCCAGGCCGUCGUCAUAAAUCCAUUAUGGAUCCACAUGAAAUUUAGUCUGGUGUAAUCUUAUCUUCGAGGAAUUACAGUAGUUGAUAAAAGAUUGCCACGUUUUGAUAAAACUUAGCAUUCCCUUUGAGCCUAAACUUGAUUACAAAGACUUUGUAAUUCCAAACUGAUGUCAGUGACAUUUUUUAUCCAACUUCAUGCUGCCAAAUAGGUUCUGCUGACUAUAUAUAUAUAUAUAUAUAUAUAUACAGUAUAUAUAUAUCUGGCGCUAAUCAGGGGUCUGGGUCUAGCCAGUAAAAGAGAACUCAGAAAAAACUGUCAUGAUUUCAUUUUAUUUUCCAUAAAGGGUCAGGUUAAUUUAACAGAUAAUUUAUUUUGAUAAAUGAAAUAAUCGUUUUAAAGUUCUUUUCAUAUUUACUCCAUAAGCUUGGUCUCAAUAUUACGAUCUGAUCGAUGAUCUUAUAGGGAUUUAAGGUUGACGAAGGAAGCGAAACAGAAGAAAUCUGUAGGAGGCAAAGACUUAACAGCACUCAGGGUUAAAGUUAGUGUUAACCUGUUACGUAUUUACUAGUAGUAACAGAGCAUUUCUGGAAAACACUAAACAGAAAACCCCCGCUGAUGGAUAACUUCAUGUCAACGAUUUACAGCGAGUCACAAAAGAUGGAAAUGGGCAGCCAUUACUUCCUGACCUCUCUCUACAGACAGCUAGGAGAUAAUUCGUGGAGAGACAGCAGCUCCCUUACCCAUUGCUGCAUCCAGAUUGGUAGGCACCACGAGAAAACAUGCUAAGAGUUGCCCCAGCUGCCUCUUAUCAAUAAUAAAACACAUUUCCGGUCCCAGAGUCACGCUCUUAACGCAUUCCCACGGCAUUACUUUGUGUCAGCUGAGUCUCGCCAUGUUUCUCCAGUGAGCACCAUACACUCCGUAGGCUCUCUGCUGUUUUUAUACCUGGGAUGCAUCGGGAGCACUCAGCUCUCGACUUCCACGCAGGAAAACAACAUAACGCAGCGAACGUUUUCUGGCACCGUGGUAAAUCCGACAUAAUGGAAACACAAAUCUCAUAAUGGAACGCAGAGACAGUGGUGCCUUUUUCCACUCUUGUCACUCUUGUUUUUCCAUGCCUUGCCGGUCCCUUUGUUGACAAUCAGUUCAUCUUCCUCCCUGCUGGUGUGACUCACUCCCGCUGCCUUCUUUUGUUAUUCUUGUGGUACAUUUUUGCGGAGGAAUUCGACUGCCGCCGCCCACGUGAUCACUUUUUUCUUUCUUCCAGGGCUCAAACAGCCCAAUGCAACCAGUUGGUAAGAAAUUAAUCUGGACGUUUGAGAGUCAUUGUUACUGAGACCCUUACUGCCAGAAAGUAUCCAAUGCUAAAAAUAUGUCUGGUAAAGAAGCGUAAAAAGUUUAAAAGCGUUUACUUGGAGUACAUUUCUUCAAUGAAGGAUGAGAAUCCCACACUAAGAAAUACAUGUUUUUCUUUUACAUUGUUUUUUUUAACAAAAUCACUGAUAGCUCAGUUACUGUGCUAACUUGUGCCAAUAGGCCACCUGUUAGUUUUCUCCUUUCACAUUCACAGCUCCACUAACAGGUCGUCUGUGGGAUGCAGGCAGUGGAGGUCCUUGCAUAAACAGUGUCCUGGGUAAAGCCCCUCCUUCUGCCGCCCCAAAGCCAAUCAAAAAUGACCAAAGUACCAAAAAAUGGCCUCUUUAUUCUCAGCACCACGCAGGGGAUCCUAACUAUGCGUUGACUUCUUGUGCAUAAAAGCAAUAGAAAACUUGUAAAAGACACAACUGGUAAGUUCUAUUUUUUUUAGCGCUCCAUUUCUAAUACAGCCCUGAGUAACUGCCCAUAUCCCGCAGAUCGUACACACACCACCCAUCUAUAGUUUAUUCAAGCUGUGCACUGAUCAAUCACUCGCGACGCAGCUGUUUCUCUCUGUAGCUACAACGCUACAUGCUAGUUGUGCCAGCGGAUGCAAAUGCAUGUAAAAGCUUCUUCACAGGCAUUGCCAAUAGGUUAUGACCUAUUACUGCUUCGAAAUCAUGAUUUGUCUUUUUCGAAUCUUCAUCCAAUCAUACCGAUUUGCAGAAAAUUAAGCAGCUGCUGCAAUGACAGGCUGUAAGUCAUGCAUAUGAUCCACCAAGCAGGACAGCAUGCGAAAAGCAAGAGGUGCGUUCAGGUCUGAAGGACCUGAGGAUGCAGGACUGAGGACGCAGCAGCAGAGGUCAGAGAGCCGACAGAGAAUCAUGUUUCACAGCUCCGACCUCAGAGUAUAAAUAGGCUUUUUUUUUUUCCCCCCCAAUAUGUCUUCUCCGCUUUCUUGUGAAUGAACCCGAAGAAAGAGAGGACGCCGGUAAGACUUUCCCCAGUUCAUGAGGCGUUUCACGGUUUUCAACUGGGCCGUUGGCUCCCUGUGCUCUCGUGUUUUGUUCUAAGACUGUGUGAGAUUUUUAAACCAUAUAAAAAAAAGAAAAAAGAAGAUACAAUAACCUUUAACAAGAUUCUUGUCCCAUAAUUUCUUUCUCUUUUAUUUUGACAUCGCAACCACAAACUCUAUUAAACUUAAAAGGGGUUUUAUGUGACAGAAUUGCACUAAGAAAAAUGGCACAGUUUUAAAGAUUAAUGUCUGAUUUUGCAGUAUUAUCCUCAGCUGCAGUUACGGUUGAAAGUACCAUCCAUGUACAAUCUUGAUCAAGAAAAUUAUAAUAUCCAUUCUGAUGAGACUGGUUUAUUAGAACAAAAGCACCUUUUAAGUAAGUAUUAAGCACGCUUUUCACUUAGCCAACAAUUCUAUAUUAAAAAUGUUUUUUCUUAAUUGGCCUGAUGUAAUAUUCUACUUUUAAAAAUCGUGUUUUUAUUAGCUGUAAACAUCCAUCUAUAUAACAUGUUUCACUUUUUGUGAUUACGUUCCUGAAAUAAAUGCACUUUUCAACAAGACUAUAGCUGAUCGAAUGGGUUGUCUGCACAUCCAUGCAGCACUUUUUGCCAUUUUUCUUUGAAAAAUGCCUCCAACGCAGUCAGAUGAGAUAGAGAACAUGCAUAUAGGAACAUCAGUUUUCGCAUCUGUCCACGGAUUCUUGAUUAGAUUAAAGUCUGUAGGCGACUCUGUUCAUGCUGACAGAUUUUCCCACCUAAGCUGUGCUAUUUUUUUGCAGUGAUGCGACGUUUUAGGGUUAAAACUCCCGCACAACUUUCUGCUAUGGUUGGCCUUCAUGAUGUUGAUUGUCCAUUGAUGUUCUCGUGACAAACUCCCAAGACCUUCAUCAUUUAGCUGCAUCUAUACUGAGAUUAAAUUAUUCAUUAGGCGAAUUCUGAAGACUUGUCAUAGUGGAUAAAAAAUGAAAAAAAAUGCACGCCACACUUUUCAGAUCUAUUCUUUUCCUUUGUCACUUUUAAGUAAAUCAAACUACAUGACAUUACUGUGAUGUUGGUUGUAAAAUAGUCAAGAUGUGGAACAGUUCAUGUAUUUAUGUCAUUACAGGAGUUUCCCCAUAAUCAAAAUAAGUGCGAAUAAGCAAAGGUGUAGCAUUUAUGAGGCGAGUGCUGUGCUUACCAUGUCAUACACGUUAAGGAUCACAGGUUCAUUGGCCAUGGUUCAAACCUGAGCCGGAAGGACAAACGAUCCUUUACCCCACGCUGUAUCAGACGGUCAGCAACCCCCCCACGCUCCUGUAAAGUCACCGGGGCUCGCGACAGGCUUCAGCUCAUUCCCCCCCGCUGAGACACCGCAAUCAUCUCCCGAGGUCAGGGGGGAAAAACACACACACAAAAGAAAAUCGAUCGCGGCAGUAGAUGUGAUUAAGCAAAAACAAAAAAAGCGGAAACUAGUUCUUCUUAAUACAUCAGAUCAGAGCCGAUUCUGUGAUUCGUACGAGGAGUAAAAAAAAAAAAAAAAAAAAAAAAAAAA